rnacentral:rRNA from 1 species
GUAGGUGGCAAGCGUUGUCUGGAAUUAUUGGGGCGUAAAGCGCGCGCAGGCGGUUCUUUAAGUCUGAUGUGAAAGCCCACGGGCUCAACCGUGGAGGGUCAUUGGAAACUGGAGAACUUGAGUACAGAAGAGGAAAGCGGAAUUCCACGUGUAGCGGUGAAAUGCGUAGAGAUGUGGAGGAACACCAGUGGCGAAGGCGGCUUUCUGGUCUGUAACUGACGCUGAGGCGCGAAAGCGUGGGGAGCAAACAGGAUUAGAUACCCUGGUAGUCCACGCCGUAAACGAUGAGUGCUAAGUGUUAGGGGGUUUCCGCCCCUUAGUGCUGCAGCUAACGCAUUAAGCACUCCGCCUGGGGAGUACGGCCGCAAAGGCUG